AUUGAACGCUGGCGGCAUGCUUUACACAUGCAAGUCGAACGGCAGCGCGGGCUUCGGCCUGGCGGCGAGUGGUGAACGGGUGAGUAAUACAUCGGAACGUGCCCAGUAGUGGGGGAUAGCUCGGCGAAAGCCGGAUUAAUACCGCAUACGACCUGAGGGUGAAAGCGGGGGAUCUUCGGACCUCGCGCUAUUGGAGCGGCCGAUGGCAGAUUAGCUAGUUGGUGGGGUAAAGGCCUACCAAGGCGACGAUCUGUAGCUGGUCUGAGAGGACGACCAGCCACACUGGGACUGAGACACGGCCCAGACUCCUACGGGAGGCAGCAGUGGGGAAUUUUGGACAGUGGGCGAAAGCCUGAUCCAGCAAUGCCGCGUGUGUGAUGAAGGCCUUCGGGUUGUAAAGCACUUUUGGCGGGAACGAAAAGGACUGUGCCAAUACCACGGUUCGAUGACGGUACCCGCAGAAUAAGCACCGGCUAACUACGU
rnacentral:rRNA from 1 species